rnacentral:lncRNA from 1 species
CGCUGGCCUCUGAGCGGCUGUGGAGCGGCGUUGGGCGCGCCCUGGGACCCUCACAGCGCUCUCCGAAGGACACUUUCGGGCCCGGGUCCCGAGGCUCCGGCCGCAGACCCGAGGAGGAAAGGACCUAUUCUCCGUUCUUUUUCAGCAUCCCGGUCUUUCCCUCUUCUCUGCCCAGCAUGGCCCGAAACGACAGGAGAGCCUCUUCUGGAUCGGCCUUUCCAACCGCGGGCUGGAGGGAUUCUGCAUGAGGAUGGAUUCGCCGGUUUCUCGGGACCCACGCACAGCAGGCAUUUAGAGUUAGGCUGCUGCUCUUAUUUAAAGAGGGCUGAGAACACCCGCAAUCUGUUAGGUAGGCGUUCCUUUUCUCACUUUCCAGGCGAAGACUCACCCCUGCACAGAGACCGGGCCUGAAAAUCCAGGCCAUGACAAAGUCCACCAAACCACCGCUUCCCCUGGUUGCCGGCCUGUGAACAAAGAACUGCCAUUUUCUUCUUUUUGCCCUGUGUUCGUCAUGCACCUUACUUCCUGAUGAAGCUGGAGGCCUUUUGCAUCCUCAAUGUCAAGCGUCAUCAAGAAGAAGUUCAGUUAGAAGACUUUCUUCACAUCUUGAGAAAGAAGGGAUUGAACCCCUUUCCUUUAGAGAACAGCCCUCUAUUUCGUCUGGGGCUCGUUACAGCAAGCACAGCUGAGGACUGCCUCCAGGAAUCUAGAAGAGCUUCCAGUGGAGCCCAUGGAAGAAUUGAAAGAAGUGGAAAAUUAUGCAAACCGCGUCUGUAACUUACCAGAGGCAAAAGAAGCAUUUUCUCAUGGUUGUGAAAAGGAAAGCAGACAGCCUAGACAUGAGUUUAAAGAGUUCCAACUCAAACCAGGUAGUUUUCCUUUUGUCAAAAUGUAAAUUUUAUUUUUUCUCUAGUUUUCAUAAUUAGCACGUGACAUUAUAGAAAAUUUGGGGCAUGUAUAAAAGGAGAGGGAAGGAGAAAAAUUAACACAUACCCUCCACCUUUAGAAAAGUACUUGUAAUAUUUUAGGGGUACCUUUUUUUUUUUUUUUUUUGACUUUUGGCCAUUUCUUGGGCCGUUCCCGCAGCAUAUGGAGGUUCCCAGGCUAGGAGUUGAAUCGGAGCUGUAGCUGCUGGCCUACGCCAGAGCCACAGCCACGCGGGAUCCGAGCCGCGUCUGCAACCUACACCACAGCUCACGGCAAAGCCGGAUCCUUAACCCACUGAGCAAAGGCAGAGAUCGAACCUGCAACCUCAUGGUUCCUAGUCGGAUUCACUAACCCCUGAGCCACGGCGGAAACUCCACUUAAGGGGUACUUUCUGCUGGCCUUUUUAAGGUAUGUAUUCUGAAAUAUUCUCAAAUGUGUGUGAGAGAGUGCAGAAUGCGCUUUUCUUUCAUGUCCGUUACAGCUCUUACCACACCGUGUCCUAAUUACCUGUGUCUGUUUUUCUGGGGUCUGCAGAGAUCGCACCAUAGUCUUAGUGGUUUCUGGGGUCUCCAAGCACCUGCCCUAGAAAGUACUUAGCACAUUAAGGUUUAGGAACUGUUUGUGAAGUACUCCAAAACUCCUAGGCAAGAUACUGUAUUUGGUUUAACUCCAUAAAUUAGAUAUUAUUAUGAUGCAUGAUCAGUGACUUUAUUUUUACCACAUAUUCAUCAUUUUCUUUGCUCAGCAUUUUCUCUUGCCUCUCAGAUACUCUAUUUGGGAUGAUUUUCCUUUUUUCAUUUUAGAACUUCCUUUCACAAAGAUCUGUGGAUGGAAAUUUUUGCUUUAUUUU